ensembl:snoRNA
AUUCAUGGUGAUUCUCUCUCCAAGGAGCCAACUAGUGCUCCUCUAAGGAAAGUAGCAACAUGGAAUAAAUCUGGCAAGCCCAAGAUCUUUUUGAGAGAGAACGUUCUGCCUUUUUUUUGGCUGCCAACAUAU